GAAUUCAGGGAAAUGUUUUAUUUUAGUAAUAAUUUGUUAUUAAUUAAAUAAUUUAGUUAGAAAUUAGUGUUUUAGUUAGAUAUUGACAAAAAUAGAGAAUUUAAAUGUUUAUUUAUCACAGAGAAGAUGAAAAAACGUGAUUUUGAAUAACUUAGAAUCUAUAACCUAACCUAGCAUAUUCUAACAUAACCUAAUUUAAUAAUUACUUAAUAUUUAUAGUGAGAUUUUGUUAAUAAACGCUUAGUUUAACCAAUAAUAACAAUUCUUGAUAAAUAUUGAUGGUUUUUAACAAAUUAAACAAAUAAACAAUUAAAAUUUCUGUAAAAGAAACAAGAAAAUGUAAUAGUUUAGCUAUUAAUCACAAUUUUUCAGUUAAUAAUGGUGAAAUGAAAUUAGUUCGACUCUACCCCAAGGCGCAAAAUGUACGUUAGCAACGGAAGUUUACAAGCAAAGGGCGCUCGUGCGACGGAUAUUAGAGGGGCGCCUGUUGCGCUCUUAUUAAAGGUAAACGCGUCCAUCUGCCUCCAGCUGGUCUUCACGCACCCCGACUUUGUUUGUCAGUAGUCGUCGGAAUCGCACACACGAAUGAUCGUCCCAACUGUUCAAACCGCGCUCAUUUACUAACGGUUUUUUAGUUCGUUUAAAAACUUAAAACAAAGCGCAUUUAAAUGUGCAAAACAUUAAAAUAUAUUUAAAAUAUAAAAGAAUCGUUAUGGAAAGCCAUUGUUCAUACUCCGAUAGCAGAUUCAAAGCCCCAAGUGACGAAACAAGCAAUUGUUACUCAAGUAAAAAAAUGGGAUGCUGUAUAAUCGUCUCAGUUGCUUUAAUAAUUGCAAUUUUAUCACCGACAAUCACCUAUAUUGUGUACAAUGAAUCAAAUAUUAAUCAAGAAGCGCAACAACUUUUACAAGUGAAGCAAGCAGAAGAAAACAAUUAUUUAUUGCAAAUACAGAAUCUCGAGGAUAAAGUCAAGAUUAAACAGGAGACUGAACAGAGAUUAUCGGCGUCUUUAAUGGCGCAAUUGGAGAAAUCAAAAGGGGAGUUAAAAACGCAAGAAGUCAAGUACGAAAAUCAAAUUGAAAGCCUCCAAGAAAAGUAUGAUAAACAAUUGGGUGCGUUGCAGAUAAAACUGAAUGUGCAAAUCGAACAGAAUCGUGUUUAUUACGCACAAAUUGUUCAGUUGCAUAAUGAUCAUCUGAAGGAAAUCGUCACAAUGUUGAAUGAGUUUAAAGAUACUCAAACUAGUUUUGAUGAUGUGGAAAAUUAUGUGAAGAAAUCCAAGGAUAAACUUCAAGUUCGAUGGGAUUUACUUAACAAGGAGAAGGAUAAAAUUGCUGCAACGUUGAAAAAAAUUAAUUCUACUGCCACAGACACGUUUUUGAAGAGGAAUUGAUUAAAUUUGUUUAGUUUUAAUAUUUAUUUUCGCUUUGUUUGUUUCAUGCAAUGUUGGUUGCCUACCUUUGUUAACAAAAUUUCAUUUUAUUUGAAUUUACAACGAUUUCAGUGUUUAACAUUGAAUAAAAUCAUGUAAUUUAUUUAUUUUUAGUUUAUAUUUAGUCUCUAUGGCAUCGUAAACAAAAAUAAAUAAACACCAAUCAAA